rnacentral:lncRNA from 1 species
CUAUGAACUUCACCAAGUUCAAUUUUACUGACAUUAGUUCCUUUUCUAAAGAACUUUUUCAAAAAGAUUGUCCUGUUGCUGACGAACACUUUUGGCUCUUCAUUGAGGUAAAAAUAGUAUCCUUUAGUUUUCUUUGGAUACCUUACGAACAAAUAUUUAUCCAAAUUUGAUCCAAGCUUAUCUAUCUUUAAACGCUUGGCAUAAGCUAGACACCCCCAUAUCUGAA